UACAGAGGUCUCAAGCGUUGUUCGGAUUCAUUGGGCGUAAAGGGUGCGUAGGCGGCGCGGUAAGUCGGGUGUGAAAUCUCGGAGCUUAACUCCGAAACUGCAUUCGAUACUGCCGUGCUUGAGGACUGGAGAGGAGACUGGAAUUUACGGUGUAGCGGUGAAAUGCGUAGAUAUCGUAAGGAAGACCAGUGGCGAAGGCGGGUUGCUGGGCUGACACUGACGCUGAUGCGCGAAAGCCAGGGGAGCAAACGGG
rnacentral:rRNA from 1 species